rnacentral:tRNA from 1 species
CCGUAGCUCAGUCGGAUAGAGCGCAGGUUUCCGAAGCCUGAGGUCAUGGGUUCAAUUCCCGUCGG